rnacentral:rRNA from 1 species
AACGCGAAGAACCUUACCAAGGCUUGACAUGCACUGAAACUCACAGAGAUGUGGGGUCCUUCGGGCGGUGUACAGGUGGUGCAUGGUUGUCGUCAGCUCGUGUCGUGAGAUGUUGGGUUAAGUCCCGCAACGAGCGCAACCCUCGUUCCAUGUUGCCAGCACUUCGGGUGGGGACUCAUGGGAGACUGCCGGGGUCAACUCGGAGGAAGGUGGGGAUGACGUCAAAUCAUCAUGCCCCUUAUGUCUUGGGCUGCACGCAUGCUACAAUGGCCGGUACAAAGGGCUGCGAUACCGUAAGGUUGAGCGAAUCCCAUAAAGCCGGUCUCAGUUCGGAUCGGGGUCUGCAACUCGACCCCGUGAAGUCGGAGUCGCUAGUAAUCGCAGAUCAGCAACGCUGCGGUGAAUACGUUCCCGGGCCUUGUACACACCGGAGUGC